UACGGGGGGGGCAAGCGUUGUUCGGAAUUACUGGGCGUAAAGGGCUUGUAGGUGGCCAACUAAGUCAGACGUGAAAUCCCUCGGCUUAACCGGGGAACUGCGUCUGAUACUGGAUGGCUAGAGUGUGGGAGAGGGAUGCGGAAUUCCAGGUGUAGCGGUGAAAUGCGUAGAUAUCUGGAGGAACACCGAUGGCGAAGGCGGCAUCCUGGACCACGACUGACACUGAAAAGCGAAAGCCAGGGGAGCAAACGGG
rnacentral:rRNA from 1 species